GGCCUAGGAUUUUUAUUUAAUUGUCCGUACCAUCUGAUUUUGAUGAGUCAAUUUGCAAUUUUUCUGAGGCCA
rfam:Beta vulgaris subsp. vulgaris Bvchr2.sca015.con0065.1, whole genome shotgun sequence.